UGAGGGAAUAUUUGGCACAAUGGAGGGAACUCUGAUGCAGCGACGCCGCGUGAGGGAAGAAGGUUUUCGGAUUGUAAACCUCUGUCCUCGGUGACGAUAAUGACGGUAGCCGAGGAGGAAGCUCCGGCUAACUACGUGCCAGCAGCCGCGGUAAUACGUAGGGAGCAAGCGUUGUCCGGAAUUACUGGGUGUAAAGGGAGCGUAGGCGGGAUUGCAAGUUGAAUGUUUAAUCUAUGGGCUCAACCCAUAUCAGCGUUCAAAACUGCAGUUCUUGAGUGAAGUAGAGGCAAGCGGAAUUCCUAGUGUAGCGGUGAAAUGCGUAAAUAUUAGGGGGGAACACCAGUGGCGAAGGCGGCUUGCUGGGCUUUAACUGACGCUGAGGCUCGAAAGCGUGGGUAGCAAACAGGAUUAGAUACCCUGGUAGU
rnacentral:rRNA from 1 species